GUCUUGGCAGCACAUCAUAGGGCCACACCCUCUGACGUGGAUUGAACCCUUUUUCCUCAGCGCAUCUGGAGAUCACAUUCGUGCUCCUGUGGUUGCCUGUGCAACAGAAGACAGGCUGCGGGCGAGGCUGAAAGACUGGGCACGGGAGGAGCCUCACCUGCCUGUCCCUGACAUUUAUGAGCAGGAGCUCGUAUCCCUGGACAGAGCACAUGAAAUGCAAGAUCAAGACCUUGCGUUAUCCUUGGACUUGACGAGAAGUGAUUUUGAACAGGCGCUCAUUGGUGCGUUG